GAGUUUGAUCGUGGCUCAGGACGAACGCUGGCGGUGUGCUUCACACAUGCAAGUCGAACGGGGUAGCAAUACCCAGUGGCGGACGGGUGAGUAACACGUGGGAAUCUACCAUAAGGUGGGGAAUAACAGGCCGAAAGGUCUGCUAAUGCCGCAUAUGUAGGCAUCUCGACAGAGGUGUUUAUGAAAGGAGUAAUCCGCCUUUUGAUGAGCCCGCGUCCGAUUAGCUAGUUGGUAGGGUAAAAGCCUACCAAGGCGACGAUCGGUAGGUGGUCUGAGAGGAUGAUCACCCACAAUGGGACUGAGACACGGCCCAUACUCCUACGGGAGGCAGCAGUGGGGAAUUUUACGCAAUGGGGGGAAACCUCGACGUAGCGACACC
rnacentral:rRNA from 1 species